rnacentral:rRNA from 1 species
CAACGCGUGGGAGCUCUCCCAUAUGGUCGACCUGCAGGCGGCCGCGAAUUCACUAGUGAUUAGAGUUUGAUCAUGGCUCAGAUUGAACGCUAGCGGCAUGCUUAACACAUGCAAGUCGAACGGUAACAGGCCUAGCUUGCUAGGUGCUGACGAGUGGCGGACGGGUGAGUAACGCGUAGGAAUCUGCCUUCUAGUGGGGGAUAACUUGGGGAAACUCAAGCUAAUACCGCAUAAGCCCUAAGGGGGAAAGCAAGGGACAGUGAUGCCUUGUGCCAGAAGAUGAGCCUGCGUCGGAUUAGCUAGUUGGUAGGGUAAAAGCCUACCAAGGCGAUGAUCCGUAGCUGGUCUGAGAGGAUGACCAGCCACACUGGGACUGAGACACGGCCCAGACUCCUACGGGAGGCAGCAGUGGGGAAUAUUGGACAAUGGGCGAAAGCCUGAUCCAGCAAUGCCGCGUGUGUGAAGAAGGCCUGCGGGUUGUAAAGCACUUUCGGUAGGGAAGAAGGCCUUAGUGUUAAUAGCACUAAGGAUUGACAUUACCUACAGAAGAAGCCCCGGCUAACUCUGUGCCAGCAGCCGCGGUAAUACGAAUCGAAUUCCCGCGGCC